CCUGAUCCCUUCCCGAACUCAGAAGUGAAACCUCUUCGCGCUGAUGGUAGUGUGGCGUUAGCCAUGUGAGAGUAAGUCAUCGCCAGCUU
rnacentral:rRNA from 1 species